UAUGUUGCUGAAAUGUUAGAGGGCACCUGAAUCACCACAGCUGCUCCAGCACCUCCAAGGUGUCCUUCCAGCUAUAGCAGCCCAUGGCACUGAAGAACAAAGACAGCACUGCACACCUAAGUGAGAGGCUAAUAUCAACUUGGCAAGUCUUGGGGCAGGAGAAUGAAAAUCAUCUGUUCAGAGAUUCAACUGCAUAGUGCAUCUCAUGUGGCAGAUUGAGAGGAAUGAUUUCAGCACCAUCGGUGAAAGUUUCAGGAAGUUAUGAGCAGAAACUGUUCUGCAAU